AGCUGAAAUGAUUUCCUCAUUCUGUUUACAGUGUGGCCUCCAGGACGAAGUUCUUUGAGACGGCUUCCCGAAGAACCAGCAAUUCUUCAUCACCACAAGGCAGGCUCCCAGGUGAUGACAGCUGAGGUUAAAGACUUUUUAACCACCGAAGCCCGGCUGGACCCAGGAGACUUUCUGUGCUCAUGAAAAGGACAUCUCGCAGCUAAGAUUCUUCCAGACCAUAUGACCCUGGAGAGCAGCUAUCUUACCGGACGAUGAUUUCAGAGCAUGCUGUCAUUAGCAGCUCAAGAAAUUAGAAGAGAGGGAGAUAAAAAUGGAGAGAAGACCCUACCUACUUGUUUGUUUUGAACUGUUCACAGCCCUUCCAUCGUUCUUGUCUACACAGGCCAUGUGUAAAGGAUGCUCAUUUGCCCUCGCAGGUGACCAGCAGGAUUGGCACUGCUGGGUGAAAGCCAACAGAGGACAUCCAUGGGCAUGGAAGGGACUGCAGAGGCCGAGAGCAGCCUU